rnacentral:rRNA from 1 species
UACGAAGGGGGCUAGCGUUGCUCGGAAUCACUGGGCGUAAAGGGUGCGUAGGCGGGUCUUUAAGUCAGGGGUGAAAUCCCGAGGCUCAACCUCGGAACUGCCUUCGAUACUGCGGGUCUCGAGUCCGGGAGAGGUGAGUGGAAUUCCGUAGUGUAGAGGUGAAAUUCGUAGAUAUUAGGAAGAACACCAGUGGCGAAGGCGGCUCACUGGCCCGGUACUGACGCUGAGGCGCGAAAGCGUGGGGAGCAAACAGG